UUUUUUUUCCCCACUACGCAGCAGAUCAGCUCAAACUCGUUAGAUAAAAAGCACGAAGGAUAUAUAUUAUUUAAGUCAAUAUCUCUUUAAAAACAGAAUUGCUUGAAAUGUACUAGAAAGAUAUGUGUCCAAAUGUAAUUAGAGAGGCUAAUAGAAAAGAGAUUAACAUAUAAGCGAACACAAAAAAAGUGCCCAAACUAUGGGGUUAAUUCUACUUUAGCCAUUUUGUUAUUCUAAUAUUUUUCUUAUCGUUGAUUUUCCGUGAAUGAAAACUUGUGCAAUCACUUAGUAGAGUAUUUGGCAGAGGAAAUCCUGAAGUAUAGCACAGCGUGCCAAUAAUUGAGAGUUCCUCUGGAGAGAAAAAAAAAAAAACUUGUGAGAUACAAAAAUGGAUUUGCUGACAGUGAGAAAUUCAAAUAAUUGAUGUUGCCAUGGUAAUAGGAGAAUUUUUCAUAAGUACUUAAAGGGGCUCUGCAACCAUAGCAUUAUAGAAUAAUUCAAUAAACUUUUGCUAUGCAAUUUACUAGCCAAAGGGCUCGGAAAUGUAUAGAUUUGUAGAUUUCCAGGAAAGUCGAGAGAGAAAGCCCCACUGUUUUUGUUAUUUGACCCUUAGUCGUUUAGCACCCCCUAUGAUCUGUCUCAAAUCACAGCGUGUUUUGAUGAAAUAAUGUGCAGAUUAAAAUGCAACUGUAUCAUAUUAUACCUGGUUGGUGGAG